rnacentral:lncRNA from 1 species
UUCCGUGGGCGGAGAGCGAUUCCCUAGAUAACUCGGGUCGUGGCGUCGGGGCAUCGAGCUCCCACAGCAUCAGGCAGGUCACCGAGGCCGCGCGGACUUCGGGAGCUAGCUCGGUGCGAGGCAAGUCUUUCCCAGGCCUAGAACGCUCGAGGCAG